UACAGAGGUCUCAAGCGUUGUUCGGAUUCAUUGGGCGUAAAGGGUGCGUAGGCGGCAGCGCAAGUCAGGUGUGAAAUCCCGGGGCUCAACCCCGGAACUGCACUUGAUACUGCGUUGCUUGAGUACUGGAGAGGAGACUGGAAUUUACGGUGUAGCAGUGAAAUGCGUAGAUAUCGUAAGGAAGACCAGUGGCAAAGGCGAGUCUCUGGACAGUUACUGACGCUGAGGCACGAAGGCCAGGGGAGCAAACGGG
rnacentral:rRNA from 1 species